rnacentral:pre_miRNA from 1 species
UGGACAGAUUAUUGUAUUCGACUUUAUUCACGGCGUGAAACAGAGGAUUACACUGUUUUUAAACGGAAAGUGAAUCAAUUAACAUAAUAGACUCCU